rnacentral:rRNA from 1 species
UACGUAGGGUGCUAGCGUUGUUCGGAAUCAUUGGGCGUAAAGCGCGUGUAGGCGGUUAGAUAAGUCCGGUGUGAAAGCCCUCGGCUCAACCGAGGAAGUGCAUCGGAAACUAUCUAACUAGAAGACGGUAGAGGAAGGUGGAAUUCCAAGUGUAGAGGUGAAAUUCGUAGAUAUUAGGAAGAACACCAGUGGCGAAGGCGGCUCACUGGCCCGGUACUGACGCUGAGGCGCGAAAGCGUGGGGAGCAAACAGG